rnacentral:rRNA from 1 species
AACGCUAGCUACAGGCUUAACACAUGCAAGUCGAGGGGAAACGACAUCGAAAGCUUGCUUUUGAUGGGCGUCGACCGGCGCACGGGUGAGUAACGCGUAUCCAACCUGCCCAUCACUUGGGGAUAACCUUGCGAAAGUAAGACUAAUACCCAAUGACGUCUCUAGAAGACAUCUGAAAGAGAUUAAAGAUUUAUCGGUGAUGGAUGGGGAUGCGUCUGAUUAGCUUGUUGGCGGGGUAACGGCCCACCAAGGCGACGAUCAGUAGGGGUUCUGAGAGGAAGGUCCCCCACAUUGGAACUGAGACACGGUCCAAACCCCUACGGGAGGCAGCAGUGAGGAAUAUUGAUCAAUGGACGAGAGUCUGAACCAGCCAAGUAGCGUGCAGGAUGACGGCCCUAUGGGUUGUAAACUGCUUUUAUAAGGGAAUAAAGUGAGUCUCGUGAGACUUUUUGCAUGUACCUUAUGAAUAAGGACCGGCUAAUUCCGUGCCAGCAGCCGCGGUAAUACGGAAGGUCCGGGCGUUAUCCGGAUUUAUUGGGUUUAAAGGGAGCGUAGGCUGGAGAUUAAGCGUGUUGUGAAAUGUAGAUGCUCAACAUCUGCACUGCAGCGCGAACUGGUUUCCUUGAGUACGCACAAAGUGGGCGGAAUUCGUGGUGUAGCGGUGAAAUGCUUAGAUAUCACGAAGAACUCCGAUUG